AACAGGUGCUUUAAUUUAAAGACAGACAGGCUUCUUUAUUCUUAUCUUAGGGGAGUGACAGGAUACCGGAGAAUAUGUUUUAAGAAAAGCCUCAUAUAUCAUUGUCUUAGAAAAGCUGGAUGUAGCGGUAACAAAAAGUAUAUUUUAGAAACUACAGUUUAGUCAUCAGACCAGUUUGGUAACACAGACUGACCGGUCCAUCUUUUGAAGGCCUCUUUGCAAAGCUGACUGCUGGUGUUGUACUCAGAGCCUCGAGUUCGGACAACCAUCCUUUCUUUGUUCUGUUUUAUAUUUUAAGAAAUACUUUUCUGCGGAGGGUCUACCCUUUUGAAAGAAAAGACGUGCGAACGCUGUGGUCCAGGUCCAAGACAUGGCCGAGGAGGAAAACCCCAAAAGAAAUGAAAGACGAAAGAAAGAAAACAGGGUUCGCGGGGAAAACCGUGGGCAGACCCCAUCAGUAUUUUUAUUAACAGACUGAGGGAGCGGUGAGGGUAGGACGGAGACCCGGACCGUGCGGGUAGCGACGGUCAGGGUGAAGCUGCCGAGUGCAGCACAUUUCAUUUGUAGUUUUGAUUUACUGUGUUUUAUUUUCUUUUUUCUUUUCUCCUUUUGCUUAGUCUUUUGUUUGAGCACUUGCGAGUGCGCCUGUACAACAGAACGGUACCGUCUCUGGUAUCUCUGUGACUCUGCAUAUCAUUGCUGAUAGGCAGACCACAGACAACAGCGCCCUCUGCAGGCCAAAAAGUGGAACGACCCCACCAAUAAUAAAACUGGGCACCUGUACGGUGUUUUCAAGUUCA